UGUGUAUAUAUGUAUGUGUGUGUAUGUAUAUAUAUGUAUAUGUAUGUAGUAUACACACACACACACACACACACACACACACACACACAC
rnacentral:miRNA from 1 species